rnacentral:rRNA from 1 species
UACGAAGGGGGCGAGCGUUAUUCGGAAUCACUGGGCGUAAAGCGUGCGUAGGCUGUUUUGUAAGUCAGAAGUGAAAGCCCAGGGCUUAACCCUGAAAUUGCUUUUGAAACUACAAGACUCGAAUUCGGGAGAGGAUAGCGGAAUUGUCAGUGUAGCAGUGAAAUGCGUAGAUAUUGACAGGAACACCAGUGGCGCAAGCGGCUAUCUGGACCGAUAUUGACGCUGAGGCACGAAAGCGUGGGGAGCAAACAGGAUUAGAUACCCUGGUAGUCCACGCCGAAAGCGAUGUGAGUUUGUCGCUGGGAAGCUUAGCUUUUCGGUGACGUAGUUAACGCGUUAAACUCACCGCCUGGGAAGUACGGCCGCAAGGUUAAA